ACGGGGUUGGCCGAGUGGUCUAAGGCGCCGUACUUAAUAUACGGUUUCAAAAGAAGUGCGAGUUUGAAUCUCGUAUCCGGCA
rfam:Neocallimastix californiae strain G1 LY90scaffold_39, whole genome shotgun sequence.